UCCAGUACAGAAAUUAAGUGGCAUCCGACAUAGGCCUUCUCUUACGACAUGUGACUUUACUGUUUUCCGUUUUUGUUGAAACAGUCAUUAACAGUUAGAAGUUGAUGGCAGUUUCAAUAACAAGUCAUCACUGAGAAAAGGAUAACACUUUAAUAUGCAGAAAUCUACAAAUUCUGAUAGCUCUGUGGAACCACUGAGUUCUACCUGCCAAGGCACAGGAGCAGUGCAAAUGAGAGUCAAAAAUGCCAACAGCCACCACGACAGACUGAGCCAAAGUAAAUCCAUGAUCCUCACUGAUACUGGGAAGCUCCCUGAACCCAUAUCCCGGCACAGAAGAAAUCUUUCACAGCAUGUCUUGAAAGAUAUCAUCCCUCCAUUGGAACAAUUGAUGGUUGAAAAAGAAGGCUAUCUUCAAAAAGCUAAAAUUGCAGAUGGAGGGAAGAAACUAAGGAAAAACUGGGCUACCACCUGGAUUGUUCUUUCUAGUCAAAAAAUUGAAUUUUACAAAGAAUCCAAGCAACAGGCUCUGUCUAAUAUGAAAACUGGACACAAACCAGAAAGUGUGGAUUUGUGUGGAGCACAAAUUGAAUGGGCCAAAGAAAAAUCAAGCAGAAAGAAUGUCUUUCAAAUCACAACAGUAUCAGGAAAUGAGUUCCUUCUACAGUCAGAUAUUGAAUUCAUCAUAUUGGAUUGGUUCCACGCUAUCAAAAAUGCAAUUGACAGAUUGCCAAAGGAUCCAUGCUGUCCGUCGAGAAACCUGGAAUUAUUCAAAAUCCAGAGAUCCUCCAGUACUGAAUUGCUAAGUCACUAUGAUGGUGAGAUAAAAGAACAGAAACCAGAGCACAGAAAAUCUUUAAUGUUCAGACUGCAUCAUAGUGCUUCUGAUACAAGCGACAAAAACCGAGUUAAAAGCAGAUUAAAGAAGUUUAUUACCCGGAGACCUUCCCUGAAAACUCUGCAGGAAAAAGGGCUUAUUAAAGAUCAGAUUUUUGGCUCCCAUCUGCACACAGUGUGUGAACGUGAAAAUUCCACAGUCCCGUGGUUUGUAAAGCAAUGCAUUGAAGCUGUAGAAAAAAGAGGUCUAGAUGUUGAUGGAAUAUAUCGAGUUAGUGGCAAUCUGGCAACAAUACAGAAGUUGAGAUUUAUCAUCAACCAAGAAGAGAAGCUGAAUUUGGACGACAGCCAGUGGGAGGACAUCCACGUUGUCACCGGAGCACUGAAGAUGUUUUUCCGGGAGCUGCCUGAGCCGCUCUUCCCUUACAGCUUCUUUGAGCGGUUUGUGGAGGCGAUCAUACCCCCAAGCUCGGUGUGUGAAGGGUGAACAUUUUCAUCUGGCUCCAAAUUUGAGAGAUCUGUUACCUUUUCAUGACAGUUAAAAAGGAUAGCAUUCGAAAUGAAGAAAUAAAACGUGGUAUUAUGGAAUGAAGAUGGGCCUUGGAGUCAGGCAAACUUGUGUUUGGAUUUGGGCCCUACCGCAUACUGUGAGGUACUAUUUGGCAACUGAAAACUCUCCACCCCUCAAUGUUCUCAUCUUUAAAACGGGUAUGUUAACUGGCUUACAGGAUUAUUAUAAGCGUUAGUAAGAUUAGAUAUAUAAGCUCCAGCAUGAGGCUGGCACUGUGAAAUGUUAAUUUCUCUUCUUCCCAAUAGUCAGAGUUGAUUUUAGGAGCAGAAGUUUAGCUUUUAAAUAUGAGUUGGAAUUGAUCCGUUGGCAAUGGGUUUUUUAGUGGUGCCCUGGUGGUGCAGUGGUUAAAGCACUCAGCUGCUAACCAAAAGGUCAGCAGUUUGAACCCACCAGCUGCUCUGGAGAAAGAUGAGGCAGUCUGCUCCCAUAAAGAUGACAGCCUUGGAAACCCUUGGGGGCAGUUCUGCUCUGCCUAUAAGGUCGACAUGCAUCACAACUGACUCAAUGGGUUUUUUUGUUUUGUUUUGUUUUGUUUUUUGACAUACCAUCACACUAAGUAAUAACCUGGUGGUAUACAAGACUUUAUAAACCUUUAAAAAAUCAUCAAGUUACUACCCAGUCUGAAAGAACUAAGUACAUAGACUGAAAACAUGAAUAAAUUUCUUUCUGCAUAUAUAAAUCACAAAUUUGAUUAUUUUUCCAUAUAGUCAUUCUCAUAGAGGUUGCCCCAGCUGGACAGGUGAAGCAGAAAGAAAGUUCAAGAAGGGAAUCAAGGCAACCAAAAGCACUCAGUAUUUAGUAUGGCUGUUUUCUGGGUUUAUUUCAGCAACUAGAGAACGUCAUUUGGUUUUCUUCUAGGAUCAAAAGACCAUUAGUCUCUGUGCAGUAUGUGGUUUUUCACUCACUACAGACCUCGUCUUUUAAGCAUGUUCUAAUUCUGAACUGAUUAAGUGCAGCUUGAUUUCUGGAUGCCAGUUGUUUAUAAGUUAUAAUAGUUUUCUUAGUUAUUGUGCAGAAUCCACAGUGAUGCUUACCGUGCACACAAGAUGAUGUCUUUGUCUGCAAAAGUCAUCCUCGACCACACUACCCACAUGCCUAGAGUACAAAGACACCACAAAUGGCUGAAAGUGUCAACAUAAAUAACUAUCAAUAAAUAUUAUGGAAUGUAGCAAAGCAUUUGGCUUGUAUCUUUCUAACCUAUCACAGCUAACUGUAUGGCUAUUAUUGUCACAAGGGACGCUCCCAGUUUAGCUGCAUACAGUAUUUAUAAAGUACCCAUCACCAUGGUAUCUAAACACUUGGGCAAUCUAAUUAGGCUGGUCCAAUUACUUGUGUAGAAGUAGGAGGGGUGUACUUCCUUAUAUACCAUUCCACUGGAACCAAUUUGAUUGUGUUUUUAAAAGCAAGAAAAGCCUUCUGUAAGAAUAGCUUUCUAGGCCCCUUGUUCCAAGAUUAAAAGACUGUCUGGGUAAAGGAAUGACUGCUUCCUAUUCCUGAAGGUGAUAAUGUUCGGAAUCAAGCAACUCUCCAGUGGUAGAAAGCACCACAGCCCAGAGAUCUUGAUUGAGAACAUUCUACUCCCUUUUCUUUUGAACUUCACUCUGGGGGCAGGUAACUGAAAAGUGGUUUCUAAAAGCAGUUCACCUGGAGGUGAAUUAUUUCUAAAGCCCUCCUUGGUGAGGAAGCUGCGUUCUCUCCUGGCCUAGCAAGUCAAAGAGAGAGUGCUUCUCCUCUCUAGGAGAUUUAACUAGGUCAGACCUGAAUUUAAACUUGAUAAUGAAGACCUCCCUUCGGACUUUUAUUUCUGACAGGCAAGGAGAAUUGAGGACGUAUUUUCUGUACUCUGUGUGUGUUAGCAUGUUUUCAUAAAGGAACAUAUCCAAAAUGGCAUCUCUCACAGUGUGUGUGGUAGAGGUGGGAGGAUAUUACCUGUUAACAUAAUAACCAAUAAAUGUUUUUAGAAUGUAAAGUUAAUCAAAGGUUUUUAAAAACUAUUUCUGUGCACUGCAGCAAACUGAAUACCAUGCUCAUAGAGAAAAAUCAUAUGUUGCUUAUACAUACCUCAGGACAAAAAGCACUUCUUCCUUUAUACUGUCAAGACUUCUCCCUGGAAUUUAGCAGUAAUUCAGAAGCCCACAGUUCUGAUGUGCUUGUGGUUCAAGACAUUCUUAUUGCAGUCCUUUGAUGGGUAAUCUCAACUUUCUAUUUGAAGCUGAACAUACAUGAUCCCAGUGAAACUCUUCAAGAACUCCCCAUAAAAUCAAGGAUAUACAGGUCACAGAGCACUACACAGCAUCAUUUGAGUUCACAAGAGAAAACCUGGUUCCCAGUAGCACUUCCCAGAGAGGAAGGAUGAAAGAAUAAUUAAAGUCAUAUAGGAAUAAAAUAUAAUUUCAAAACAGUAGUUGUCUCUCCUCUCUUCUUCCCUUAUGAAAGAAUGAAAAUUUUACUUGUCAGAAAUUGGAGUUGGUGACCAAGUUGCAGGUUCAAAUUUCAGACAGGCUUCAGCUCCAUGAGUUUAGACCUUAAAAUUUUGUUUAUAAUGAACAUUUAUUGAGCACUUAUCAUGUGCCAGGUACCAAUCUAAGCACACUAGAAGUGUCCGUUUAAACCUCACAUCAACCUUAGGAGGUAGGGACUAAGAUACAGAGAAUACAGAGAAUAAAAAUUGAGAUAUAAUAAAGUUGUCCUGCUGUUGUUAUUGUUGUUAGGUUCCAUCAAGUUGGUUCAGACUCAUAGCGACCCUAUGUACUACAAAAUGAAACACUGCCUGGUCCAGCGUCAUCCUCACAAUUGUUAAUCUUGAGCCCAUUGUUGCAGCCACUGUGUCAAUCCAUCACGUUGAGGGUCUUCCCGUUUUUUGCUGACUCUGUACUUUACCAAGCAUGACGUCCUCUCCAGGUACUGAUCCCUCCUGAUAACAUGUCCAAAGUAUGUAAGACAUAGUCUUGCCAUCCUUGCUUCUAAGGAGCCUUCUGGUUGUACCUCCUCCAAAGCAAAUUUGUUUGUCUUUUGGCAGUCCAUGGUAUAGUCAAUGUUCUUCGCCAGCACAAGUCAAAGGUGUCAGUUCUUCUUCAGUCUUCCUUAUUCAUUGUCCAGCUUUCGAGUGAAUAUGAUGCGAUUCAAAAUACUGUGGCUUAGGUCAGGCACACUUUAGUCUUCAAUGUGACAUCUUUGCUUUUCAACACUUUAAAGAGGUCUUUUGCAGCUGAUUUGCCCAAUGUAAUGGGUCUUUUGAUUUCUUGACUGUUUCCAUGGGUGUUGAUUGUGGAUCCAAGUAAAAUGAAAUCCUUGACAACUUCAGUCUCUUCUCCAUUUAUCAUGAUAUUGCUUAUUGGUCCAGUUGUGAGGAUUUUUGUUUUCUUUUUGUUGGAAUGUAAUCCAUACUGAACUCUGUGGUCUGUCUUAGUUUACUCAGUUGGCUAGUAGAAGAAUAAGCAUUCAAACCAGCAUUCAAAGUGGACAAACCAGAAUGCUAUUGUGUAUAGCGUGUGUAUAGCAUGCACACAUACCUGUGCAGCAUUCAGUGCACAUGUAGUGUGGUGCCAAAGGCAGCUUGCGUAGCCACUAUGCUGUAAAUGGCCUCUCCCAUGUCUCCCAUCUUGGAACACAGCCAGACAUGAAUCAAUUACCUACACUAGGAUGGAGCCCAGUGAGAAAACUCAGAACUAGUUCCUGGAACGUUAUAGGUUGAAUGAAUGAAUGUCUAAUGCCUAGAACAGUGCCUGGAACAUAGUAGGUGAAGGAAGGAAUGAAGAAUGGGAGAAAGAGAGGAAGGGAGAGAGGGAGGAAGGAAGAAGAAAAGGCAGGUAGAGAUGGAGAAAGGGAGGAGAGAAGGAAGAAAGAAAGGAAGGGCAGGAGGGAAGAAAGAAGGAAGGAAACUUCUUUGUCGUGAGUCAGACUUUGGAAGGACAAAUGAAAGCAUAGGUACCAUAUGGAAAUCUAAAAACGUAGUGAUAGCAACAGCCACAAUUUGUUGAUUACUAGCUCUGUGCCCACGACUAGGCUAAAUGCUUUCUGUAGUCAGUGUAACUUAAACAGCGUGAUGAGGCAAGUAUCACUCUCCCCAUUUUACAAAUAAGACUUGGAGGUGUUAAGUGACUUGCCCAAGGACAUACUACUAGUCAUCAACUUAACCUGUCGCACACUAACAGGCUUUAGUCCAGCAUGACUUCAGUCCCUAUGGGGAGACACGUUUCAGAUGGAGCAACAAUGGUAAAUCCAAAGUUAGGUUAUGUUUUACAAUCCAGGAUAACAGUUGUCUCAGGUAAGUUUGUAAGUCUGGGAAUAUGAGAUGGUUUCCAGACCUGAAACAGAGGGAAAGAGUCACCAAUAAAAAAAAGACCUGUUGCCGUCGAGUCGGUUCUGACUCGGAGCUGCUCCAUAAAUUGGUUAAUGUGAUCACCAACACAAGGGCUUAUGCAGAAGAGAACCAAGUGGAAGUCCAGUGCAUCAAACUGGAGUUAAGUUUAGGAUGAGACAAGCAGCAAAGUUGACUUGCUGUUCAGGCUGCAUAUGUAGGGCAUGUAGACCAAAGUUUGUUAAGCUCCCACCACUGCUCAGGGUCAGGGCAGACCUUGGACACUAGAGUUAUCGAUCCCACGUGUAGCAGUUAAGAGUCCCAUCCAGCAGACAGAAGAGACUUGAAAACUUGGGAAUAGGCUUCCGUGAUACUUCUGAAAGGUCCUCGAGCAACGUCCACCUCUGCCCUAACCUCAUUCCAGAUUCCUUUAUUUAUUUUUUUCUCUCAUAAUGCAAAUACCUCACCUUUUCUCUGUAUUUCUAGUGCCAUUGUGUUUCUUCUUGGUGUCAACAUAUCUUCUGUGUCACACCUAUUAUUCCUUUUAUUGGAAGGCAAGGUAGGCCAGAUGACAAAAUCUGCGAUUGAAGACUGUGGCGACUGAUGGUUCAGACUCUGCUUACAUUUGCCCCCUCACUUUGUCUUGCUGCCCGUGGGACCUGCAAACAGCCAGCGCAAAGGACACACAAGAUAAGGAUCCACAUGAGUGUGCUUCUGUCCAAACCCCAGUUCUCUCAUAGAAGCACAGCCCAAGUUCUGGGAUUUCAGCAGCCUGCACAGAAUAAGUAAUCUAACAGGUCACUAGAGCCCAGGGACCACUGUGAAAGUCCCAUUCUUUGUACUGUUCAGCUAGUGGUGGUGACCACAUCACCAAUCAAGUCCACCCUACCAGCAUAUAUAGAAUUUCUUUUUGUGCCACAGUUACAUCUGCCAAACUCAGGCAGCAGGACUGGCCCUAACCUAUUGAAGAAAUCUAUAGGGAGACUGAAUUGUAUAUACAAAACUGUUUCGUUUUGACAAUACGGAUAUAUUUUGAGAAAAAUAAUUGUUUUGCAUACCAGGAAACUCCAAACACAAACACACUAUCCCUGUUUAACCAGCAAGCAAACUGAGGCAGUACACUGAGUGAGUUAAUUGAGAUAUAACAUCCAGCCCAGGCCAAAGGAAACUAUUGGUAGAAACAACUGAAAAAGAAAUCUGAGGAACAUUCAUUUGUUCUUCUGGCUUUUGCUACACUGCCUCCUUUCUACAACUAUAUUUUCUCUGAGAACAAUGUGCUAAUGGCAUACCUACUGAGAAAAUGAUGUGUCAGAAAGCUAAAUAACAUAGCCUGUGUUAUUGGUUGAAUAAUAAUUAACCAUUGCUAUGAACAAUCUUCAUGCAAUAUAAUGUCAUGAAGAAGCAGCUUUAGGUUUGUUUUGAAGGGUGCUUUUGUUAAACUAUUAUUUUGGUUCAGUGGUUCAAGAAUUAGAUUUUAUUAACCAGUUUCUUUGUAUCAGUGGGAGAUUCGCUUCUAGGUUUCCAUGUCUGGUACUCGGAGCAUUUCCACUUGAGUGGCCAACUGAAAGAGUAGCUCUUUGGUGUCUGUCAUUAGCAAGGGCUCUUUUUGACACAUCAGAGCAGUCAGCUACAAUGUAUCAGUCCUUUAAUGACAAUAGAGAAGGAUUAUUGAUUUGACUAAAGAACUUCACCUUUAUGUAAUUUUAAAUGAGAUAAAGUUAGAGGGAUUCCUGGGGAAAUUUUGGGGUGACUAACCAAGUGACACAUUUAUAGGUACCAAGUGACACAUUUAUAGGUGUCCAAUUAAAGCAAUGUUGGGGGGAAAAUAGUCACCCAGUUACUUCAGUAAUGAUUUAUAGUUGGGUCAUUAUUAUUGAACAUGAAAAAGGGCAUAUAGCUGUGGCUUCAGUUUGUCUGGCAGGGGCGGGGAGUAUUUCCAUGAAAUCAGGAUGUCUGUCAUAUAUCCGAAUUGCUAUGUAAUCUUUAAGGAAUUACUUAUGCGGCAUACUCCUCAGCUGCCUUCUAACACUUUAUUUGGAACACUUUUUAUUUUCUUUAUAUUUUUCCUUAAAUAUAAAGAUCAUUAUUGCUCCCCUGCUCUGUGCAAGUUUCCAUGAUAGAAACUUUACAUAAGGUGUUAUGUAUACUGUAGACAAAUAGUGUGUACUGUGGUGCUGUGAAAAUCCCAUUACUAAUAAUUUUUAAUUAAUAUAACAUUAAUUAUAACUUAGAUCAUGCCAUACCUGCUGUAACAAAAAGAAUAUGUUACCUAAAUAAAGGAAGAUGAAUGUGGUUAUUUGGAACAGAUUGGCAGAUUUUCAUUGCAAGUGAGGUGUAGGUAAUUGAUAGAGAGAGUCACUUUGGGUCUGCAAGAACUAAAAAGUUCAGGAACAGUAUCAGACAGACUGACCUGAGGUUGACUCAGGGUAAAUUGAUAUUCUCAGAGCAGAAAAACUAGAUAUAUGAUGAAUAAAAUGAACAGAGUGGUUCACUGUUCAAAUAUGAGAAGACACCCUUGGGUUCAAUCAGAAUUGUGGAUAUAAGGAGCCUGAGUUGAGACAAAUACCUGUCUAUCUAUAUUAUUAACCAAAAACCAAACCAAACCCACUACCAUCGAGUCGAUUACAAUUCAUAGCAACCCUGUAGGACAGAGUAGAGCUGCCCCAUAGGGUUUCCAAGGGUGUAAUCUUUACAGAAGCAGACUGCACAUCUUUCUUCCAUGGAGCUGCUGGUGUGUUUGAACCACUGACAUUUCAGUUAACCAAGCACUUUAACCACUGCAUCACCAGGGCUCUUUAUUUUGAUUAAAAGACCUCACUAUAGAUAUGCAAUAGAUUUGAUAUUGGUUGAUUUCAAAACUUAGCAAAAAUAUGUACUUGUUUUAAAUUUGUUCAAAUGUGGCUAAGUUACACAUUCUUUAAAAGAAAACCAACUUAAAGAACAAAAAAUAUUAUUAUUCAUGCUUUUCAAUGUGCCAGCAUGGAAGGCAAAGGAAGAUAAUUUUUUUAAUAGUUUUAUUCUGUUAUGUUAAUAAAAACUAAAUGAAUCUGAUUGAAAAUUAAAUAAAAACUUUGUUACCAUUCUCUUAUCUCUUUAAUUGGUGACAUCAUGUGAAAGAGGCUCAACUCACCCCCACUGACUCAUGUAAGAAAAGGAAAUGCUGGACUGAGAAUGCAGAGAAAUACAUUUUUGAAAUUGAGCCUUCCUCCACUUGCCAUGAGUACUCUUUAAUGGGUCAGUUUGAGAAUGAGUUAAGUCUAUAUUCUAUGCUUUGUCUAAAGGAGAGAUAUACAAGGGCAAUAUAAAACACAUAAUUUAAAGUUGGUUGAAAUUCUGAUUUGAAUAAAUGAGCACAUCAAAAAGUUAUUGAGACACAACAAUCCAGCAUCCUUGUCCUUUCAACAAUUAGUGAAAAAAAAUUUUUUAAAUGUGUUAUAAGGAAAGUGUUUGCUGCUUCUCCAUAAUAGAGUAACUUGAAUGGACAUUUUUUUUCUACCCCAAACAACUAUACAAUUUAAGUCAUUGAAUAAUUAACACAAGGGAAUCGCAUAAGAUGAGUUCUAUAAUUGCUGUAGCUUUUUGUGUGGUUACACUUUGAUGCUGCAGCACAGAGAAGUGGGACCAAGAGAGAUCGUGGUCUUACUGAGUUGGAAAAGCAGAGGUAAAAUUUCAAGGCUGUUAAAUGGGCUGGAAUUUGUGUGGCAGAGUAUGAAAGAAGAGUGAGUUUUGCAGAAGGAGGUUCCAGAAGUCUGCAGGUGGAUUUAUUGCAUAUGUUUGCACAUGCAAAAGGCCUCUAUAAGACCUAGCAGAGAUAUCCUUGUAUAAGGCUGAGAGUUGAAGUGAGAUACCAGAGGUCUUAUAGUGUUGAGAGUCACUGGAAUUCCAGUCCAUCCAGAGAAGAAAGACCUCUAUGAGUAAUCUGGGCAUCCAAGUGAGAUAAGAAAGGUUGCACCUUAAUAGUAAUAACUAAGAAAUGGAUAAAGGCUAUGCCCUAGAAUUGAGUUAAAAGGUAAAACAAAUCCUCCCUAACAAAGAAUAAAAACCAAACCUGAUAACACCAAAAAAUAAAGCUGUCAGUAAAUUUAAUUGCCUGUUGUGAAAAAACUCUACACUUUAAAGAAAUGAAACAUAAUCCUGAUUCUUACAACAUAUCUUUCACAGUGAUACAAUAAAAUUUCUAGACAUGUGAAGAAGCAAAACACAGCCCGUAAUCAAGGAAAAAGCAGACAAUAGAAAUAGACCUUAUGAAGACCAAGAUAAUGAAGUUAGCAAACAAGGAUUUCAGAACAGUUAAAAAUACACUCAAAGACUUAAAGGAAAAGAUGGUCAUUUUGACUGGACACAUAGGUACUCUCAGCACAGAAAUAAAAUAAUAAAAAAAAUUCUAGAGCUGAAAAGUAUAAUACCAGAAAUUAAAAAAAGAAAAAUACUGAAUGUCUCAGGAAUGUAUAGGUGUCUGUAGAAUAAAAGGUUAGUGAGCUUGAAGACAUAAUAAUAGAUAUUAUCCAAUCAGAAGAACAGAGAGAAAAAAGGUUAAAAAAAAAAAAGAAUAUCAGCAACUUGUGGGACAAAAACUAAACAGUCUAACAUGCAUAUAACUGGACUCCCAAAAAUAAGCAGAGAAAAAGAAUGGGCUAGGAAAAAAAAAAUAAUAAUACUUAAAAGACCAAAAUUUCCCAAAUUUCAUGAAGAAAAAUUAACUUACAGAAGGAAGCUCAGCAACCACCAUGCAGAAUACGUAUCCAAGAGGUGAGGGGAAGAGGGCAUCUAGGAACACCAUAUUUAAAUUGAAAACCAAAGGUGAAAAAGAAAAAAUUUAAAAGUUUACAAAAAAGAUAAAUUGCAUAAAUGGAAAUUAUGUGAAUUAAGAUUGACUUCUAAUCAAAAACAAAGAAGAAAUAUCUUUAAAGUUCUGAAAGAAAAAACUAUCAACUCAGUGUCUUGCCAUUUCUAUUAAAAAUUGUACAGAAGUUCCUAGAGAGUACAAGAAAAGGAGGGAGAAAAAGGAGGGAAGGUAAAAGAAAGAAAAGAAAAAAUAUGAAAAAAAGGACUGGAAAAUUUUUUUCAGACACAAUUAUUUACAGAAAAUCUUAAGAAUCUACAAAAACACUACUGGAAAUAAUAAGCAAAUUUAUGAAGUUUGUAAAUAGGAUCAGGGUCAAUAAAGUAGUUGCGUAUCUGUAUAAUAAAAAAAAAAAAACCCAUUGCUGUCGAGUCUAUUCUGACUCAUAGUGACCCUGCAGGAUAGAGUAGAACUGCCCCCAUAGUGUUCCAAAGAGCACCUGGUGGAUUCGAACUGCCAGCCUUUUGGUUAGUAACUGUAGCUCUUAACCACUAUGACACCAGGGUUUCAAGCAUCAAAUAUUUGGAAAUUUUUUAUUUAGAAUUUAUAAUAGCAUCAAAAAAGGUAUGGAAUAAUUAGGAAUAGAUUUAUCAAAGCUCAUUUAAGAAUUACACAUCAAAGACUACAGAACACUACUGGGAGAAAUUUUAAAAGACCUAAAUAAAUGGAAAAAUACACCAUGUCAUGGGUUAAAAGACGCAAUAUUGGUAAGAUGUCAGAUCUCCCCAAGUUGAUCUAUAGAGUCAACACAAUCAAAUUUUCAACAAGUAUUUUUGUAGACAUUGACAAAUUGAUUCCAAAAUAAUAUGGAAAUGCAAACAACCUACAACAACAAAACAAUCUUGAAAAAGAAUCAGUGGGGAAACAAAAGUCUUUUCAACAAAAGAUACUGAGACAAUUGAAUAAGCUAAUUGAAAAAUAAAAUUUGACUUCCACCUCACCCAUACACAAAAUUAAUUUGAGAUGGGCCACAGAAUUAAAGGUAACAGCAAAGUCAAUUUAGCUUCUAGAAAAAGGAAUUAUAGAAUAUUUUUCAGAACUGGGAAGCAGCCAAAUAUUUUUUUAGAUAGGACAUGAAAAGAAAUAACCUUAAAGGGAAAAACUAGGUUUUAACAAACAUCUCUGUUAAGGAAAUGAAAAGGCAAGCCAUGGAUUUGGAAAAAGUAUUCAUAACAUACAUAUCUCACAAUGGCUUUGUAAUCUGCAUAUAAUAAAGAACUCCUACAAAUCAAUCAAUAGCAGACAAACAACCCAAUUUUAAAAAUGAGCAAAAAAAUUUAAACAGGCCUUCAUAAAAGAAUACACACUAAUGAUCAAUAGAUACAUGAAAAGGCGAAAGUUGCUUAACAUAAGCAGUCAUCAGGGAAUGCAAAUUAAAACCACGAUGAGGUACCAGUUUAUUCCCAUCAGAAUGGCUAAAAUUAAAAAGACUAAUAACAUCAAAUAUUGGUGAGAAUACUGAGCAACUGGAACUCUUGUACGUUUCUGGUGAGAGUAUAAAAUGGUACAAUAGUUUUGGGAAAUGUGUUUGGCUGUUUUUGAAAAUUUGACACAUUCCUAUCUAUGACCCCAAAAUCUCCUCUUAAGUAUAUACCCAAGUGUUAAAAAAAAAAAAAAAAAUUGCCAACAAAAA